UUGUAUGGUUGAGAACAGCAGAAGGUUUAGAGCCUCAAGCCAAAUCCAUAAUACAUUGCUUAAAAAAAAAAAAAGAAAAGAAAAGAAAAGAAAAAAAAAAUCCCAUUGCAUUCAACAGCACUGGGUCUUGUCCCUGAAAGUCUGGUUUUGAUCUGCAACAAAUUUCCAAGGUUUAGCUCUAUCUUACUUCUCGAUUCCAUGUACACUUUUACCUUCUCAUUCCAUGUAUAGACAUAGGCUUUCUAUUAAAAAAAAGUAAUGAGAAGAAUUGUCACCUCUGCUGCUAUGAUUUUUUGGCAUACCAACUGCAGCCUUCUGGACUAUGCUAAUCUCUGACAAGACUGAGACACAGACCUAACUAAAAUAGUCUAGAACAGCCAACACCAUUCUUAAAAUAGUUUCACAUUUUUUUUAAUCUAUUUUUACUGGCUAGGGCAAGAUUUAAUCUUUCAAUCAUAAGGUUGUGCCUUUGAUUUUAUUUUAAAAUGUGUUAGAAACUCUUUAAAUACAUGGUUUACUAUGUGUAUCUUCUGGAAUGAGUUAGAUAACUUCAAACCUAUAUAAAAUUACGAGCCAUGAGUUAGUCUUCAUCAAGCAGAAAUGCCACAUAACUUGCCUUUUCCAGAGGAGCAUCUUACGCUGAAAGACUGGUCUUAGUCAUGCCAUUGCACAAUAUGCGUGUGUUUAAUGCAGUCACUUGCCUCUACAUUGCAAUUUCUUUUUUGAGUCUUGCAUGCUCAAAUCACUAGAAUGGCUGCCCCAUCCCUAUCUCAGGUUAUCUAAGUCACAAGAGCUGGGAAGCUGAGUGGCUGGCCAUCAUUCCCACCACUCAGUGAAAUGACUCGGUUGAGGCUUGGUUCCCCUUCUCCCAGAUCACAAGGUAAGGAGGAGCGUUAUAAUAGCAUACCACAUCAUCUUGGCCUUUGGAUUAAAGAUUCCACUUUGAGAAGAAAUUAGAAGAAGUUCAACUUAAGCAAGAGCUACAGUAGGAGAAAAUUGUAACGUUCUACUCUCUGCUCUGCACUUGACUUAGAUAGCAAGUCAAAGUUCAGACUUCAGAUAUGCAAAGUUUCUGAUCUGCAGCUGCAGAUCAGACUUGUUAUCCUGAGCCCUAUACACUAAAAUACCUCUAAAUAACAUCAUUUUGAGAAAGCUGUCCAUAACCAACUUUGGAUUCAGUCCCUCCUCUAAGUUUAGCAUGUAAUACCAAUCUCUAUCAGAGGAAGAUCAAGAGAGAUUUAAUCAUUUAAAAAUUGCUUUGAGGUC
ensembl:lncRNA